UAUAUUUUAGUGUAAAUGCAUUUAAAUUUUUGAAAUUUAAGGUUUAGGUUAGUUCUAAAAAUAUAA
rnacentral:tRNA from 1 species